rnacentral:rRNA from 1 species
CGAGUGGGGAGAUUCAUCUUCAGCGGCGUCGGCUUCCGUGCGGCUCGCGAUGAUCGGGGCUUCGGCUCUGUGUCACGCGUCCGCUGCGGCAUGUCCGGCGUCGUCGUCGUGCACUUCUCCCCUAGUAGGACGUCGCGACCCGUUGGGUGCCGGUCUACGGUCCGAUUGGUCGACUGUCGCGUCUCGUUCACGCGGCAGGCCGUCGGUCUCCCGGCCGGCUGCCCGGCGGUAUAGAACGCUUUGAAACGGUAUUGGGCCGCAUUAUGUGUGCGUCCUGGCUCGUCGGCAGGCUCGCCUCGCUCGGAUUCGCGGACCUAGUGCCGUGGCCGGGCGCUUGGCGUGGCCGCUAGUCGACGAUGUCCUCGGACUGGCUCUCGCAUCCUCACGGAUAUACCGGUCGGCGACGCUACUGCUUUGGGUACUUUCAGGACCCGUCUUGAAACACGGACCAAGGAGUCUAACAUGUGCGCGAGUCAUUGGGUCUUGUUAAGCCUAAAGGCGUAAUGAAAGUGAAGGUCUUCCUUAGCGUCGACCGAGGGAGGAUGGCUCGCGUCACGAUGCGAGCCCGCACUCCCGGGGCGUCUCGUGCUCAUUGCGAGCAGAGGCGCACCCAGAGCGUACACGUUGGGACCCGAAAGAUGGUGAACUAUGCCUGGUCAGGACGAAGUCAGGGGAAACCCUGAUGGAGGUCCGUAGCGAUUCUGACGUGCAAAUCGAUCGUCGGAAC